UCAUUUUGGAGUAGGACAAUAUAAGUAUUAAUAUAAUUUGUUUAAAUUUUAUAGCUAUGUGGGCCUAACGUGCUACCCACGGUCCAUACGGGCUAACCCUAAUGGGUAGCGGGAAUUUUAAGGCUAGGCUAAAAAAAACCUGGAAAAUAUGGUGGAUCCUCAAAAGGGAUCCUCACUUCCCUAAAAGGCGAUCAAAAUGGUGGAUCCUCAAGAAGGAUCCUUGUCCCCCUUAAAGGCGAUGAAAACGUUGGAUACUCGAGAGGAAUCCUUGCUUCCCUUGGAGGAGAUAAAAAAGCUAGAUACUUAGAGACAAUCAAAACGCUAGAUCCUCAAGAUGGAUCCUUGUUGUCCUUAGAUAC
rnacentral:lncRNA from 1 species